UACGAAGGGGGCUAGCGUUGCUCGGAAUGACUGGGCGUAAAGGGCGCGUAGGCGGAUGGUACAGUCAGAUGUGAAAUUCCCGGGCUUAACCUGGGGGCUGCAUUUGAUACGUAUUGUCUUGAGUUCGGAAGAGGGUCGUGGAAUUUCCAGUGUAGAGGUGAAAUUCGUAGAUAUUGGAAAGAACACCGGUGGCGAAGGCGGCGACCUGGUCCGACACUGACGCUGAGGAGCGAAAGUGUGGGGAGCGAACAGG
rnacentral:rRNA from 1 species